CAUGUAGGCGGUCUGAUAAGCCUGGCGUGAAAGGCUUCGGCUCAACCGAGGCACUGCGCUGGGAACUGUCGGACUGGAAUCACGGAGAGGGAGAUAGAAUUCCAGGUGUAGGGGUGAAAUCUGUAGAUAUCUGGAAGAAUACCGGUGGCGAAGGCGAUCUCCUGGCCGAUGAUUGACGCUGAGGUGCGAAAGUGUGGGGAUCAAACAGGAUUAGAGACCCUGGUAGUCCACACUGUAAACGAUGUGCACGAGGUGUUGGGGCGGAUGCUUCAGCGCCGGAGCUAACGCGGUAAGUGCACCGCCUGGGGAGUAUGCUCGCAAGGGUGAA
rnacentral:rRNA from 1 species